rnacentral:lncRNA from 10 species
CAGGCAGAAAGGACUCGCCUAGGGAGCCAGCGCGGUCCCAAAGGAGCCGCCGGCCCUGCCUCCCGGGAUCCGACCCCCGGUGCAGCCAGCCUGAAGUCGCCCGAGGGCAGGGCCGACCUCACCGAGCCGGGAAUGGCGUCUCAGGGGCAAGUGAGAACUGGCCUGAGAAGGGGACGGUAGGGGCAGAAGACGCCAGGCUGCCUCUUGGACCAGCAGCGCCGGCCCAGAGCCACACGACUCUCUGUGGCACUGGCGACAAAGCGGGGAAAGUUUCUGGCUAAGACUUUCACGGAGAGGCAGUUCGCUGGCGUUUAGUGUGGGGGCUCCCCGGGGAAGCCGGUCUUUGGAAAGUGGAGGGUGGAGGUGUGGCGUUCUCGGGGUCCCCGCCGAGUCGUGCCACCACCCCGUCCCGCUCCCCGAGCACUGCCAGCAGCCCCAGGCGAGCCGGGGCUCUCCGUGGGGCAGGGCACGCUUCUGCCCCCACUCCACUCCACAGUGAGAGCCCACGUCCGUGGGUGCAACGAGCUGCAGGAGCACCGGACACACGGCCAAGAUGUGUUUUUGGGAGGGCAGAGCGGUUUUCAUUGCGGCAUUCUUCGUUUCCUUUCAUCCUGGAGAGAGGAGAGGGCGGGCGCCUUCCCACGCCCUGGGCGCACAGGCAGAUCACUUACCUCCCCGCAUGGCCGCGCCGGGAGGUUUGCCCCGCGCGGAGCUCGGCGGCCGCCACGCGCAAAGCCCCGGUGCAGCCGGCCGGACGCGCGCGGCACGCCGGGAGUUGUAGUCCAGCGCCGGUCGGCGGGGGUCGGAGGGGCGGGGGCCCCCAGGAAUGGGGAAGGCCAGUACUAGAAGGGACAAGAUCUGGGCAGGACAAGGGAGGAUAUUUGCAAAAACUUAAAACUUCCAGGAAGAUGGGGGGAGGGGAACCCUCCUAGAGAGAUUUUUAAAGUGAGGUUUUUUUAGGUUAAUGCCAUUUUCUUCCUGUCUUACUCGCUUAUGACAACCCCAAUGAAGUUUUAAGCUGGACUCUGGCAGUAAUGUUAAGUAGAGAUUUUCUCGGCCAACUUCAUAUUAUUUAGGGUUCUAUUCUUCCUUCACCUUGAACACAGAUGUGCCAUUCUCUGCUUGGAUGCACACAGAAUAUUCUUGCUCACAGAAUAACUCAGUUGAAGCCCUGAGCAUGUAAAAGGAGGGUGAGUAGUUAGUUGCACCUUACACAUGCAGGGUGCUUUAUAGCUCUCUUUACAAAGCACUUUGUACUUGAUUGAUUCAUUAUAUAAGAACCGUAAAGCAACUCUGAGAGUUAGUCAGAGAAAAGCUAAAGAUGCAGGGAGUUUUUUGUUUGUUUGUUUGUUUGUUUGUUUUUUGAGACGGGGUCUUGCUCUGUCGCCCAGGCUGGAGUGCAGUAGCGCGAUCUCGGCUCAAUGCAGGGAUUUUUGUGUAUCUGCAUCUGCAGAGGUUGUUGGAGCCAUCCUGUCUAUUCGUUUCUUUCUCCAGCCUCUCUUAGCAGCUGGGAAGAGAGAGUGGAGAGAAAGAGGGAUCAGGACAGAUGUGGACACGGCAGAAGAAGAGGAGCCUGCUGUGACGGACUUCCUUGAAAUGACAAACAAGUAAAUAUUUAAGGGAAUAAGUAAAACCAAAAGAAGGACUCAUGGGUUGGAAGAAUGGAAGGAGAAGGAAAAGGCAGAUGGGAUAGGGAUAGACAUUGAAGAUUGCAAACAGGCUAGUAGCAAAGAAAGCAAAAACAAACAGGGUUUUUAGAAGCCAGAUAAACCUUGGAUUCCUGGUGUUGUCACUUCUGAGCUAUCUCUGUUACCUUAGAUGUUUAUUUCUAAUGAAUUGGACAUUACAUUUCCAAAGUUAUAAGAUGGCCAACAGACCAUGAAAAGACAAUUAUUUAGUCUCCUGCUUGAAACCAACAGCUUCAGCAAACUGCUGGCCUUGAAUCAGGACCAACCAUUCUUUUUAAUACAUACGGAAUACUUUUACUAGAACAUUCUGGCUUCAAGCAAAGCAUACUUAUUUCAUGCAAUAGGGACAGAGGGUCACUCCUGCUGAUAUCUUCUUUUGCAUCAUCUCACAUCUACCUACCUACUGGUUGGAUGAUCCUAAGCUAAUUACCUCACUCCUCUAAACUGCAGCUGUCACAUAAGCAGGUAUUCUUGGGCUCUCUCUCCUUAGCUCUUUCUUGUGGUCCAGCCAGAAUCGUGCCAGGUGUGGAAACUGGAAGUCUAGAAAGAAAAGUUUCCCACUGCUCUGAUGCAGGUCCUCCUCCUGGGUGAGGAAAACAACAACAUCCUUGAACCUAGGGCAGCACCUUGGUGUCCAUCUCCUCUUGCCUGUGCCUGGUCUUGGGAUAUUGGUGCUGGGCCUUCAUUUUAUUGGGUGCACCUUUGAGAGUAGAUGAAGAGCUACCAAAUUAUAAAUCCCUGAUUGGGUGUCUCUCUUAAUAAUGAACAGCUUAGGAACCCUUCUACCUUGUUUCUGGGGCCAAGGCUACUCUUCUCACAGGAGUUUCCAGAGUUAUGUUUCAUUCUUAUAAAAUUAUGCUUCAGAAGCCAUAAUACAUGGGUGCCCACUGGUGAGGAUUUCUUAAGAUAAAGAUCCUGGGCUCUACCCCUUGAGACUGAAUCAGUAGGUCUGGGGUAAGGCCCAGAAUUUAUACUUUAAAAAAGUAACACACCAACUUUCAGUUCCAGUCUGGCAUGUAAGAAGCUUGGAAGUUGUCACUCAGCCCUAACAACAAGUAAAAAGCUGAAUAAACCAGGCACAGCGACUCUCAUCUGUAAUCCCAGCACUUGGGGAGGUUGAGGCGGUUCCAAUCACUUGAGCCCAGGAGUUCAAGACAAGCCUGGGAAACAUGGUGAAACCCCAUCUCUACAAAAAAAUACAAAAAUUAGCCUGGUAUGGUGGCGCACACCUGUAGUCACAGCAACUUCGGAGGCUGAAGUGGAAGGAUCACUUGAGCCCAGGAGUUGGAAGUUACAGUGAGCCAUGAUAGUGCCACUGCACUCCAGCCUGGGUGAGAGGGUAAGACUCUGCAACAACUCUUUUUAGAUCUCUAAGAGAGGUUAGAUUAUAGGGCAAACUGCUGUCCCCCAAAUUGGAGAGACCAACAGGGGAAUACAGAGAAUCACAACUCUGUGAGCAGGAAACCAUGAGUAGUAACCUCUGCAGCAACCGGUGCCCAUGUAGGAAAAUCUUAACUGUAAUUGAUGAAUUGCUGGAGGCUGAGUGUGGGCAAGUCAAAAACUCCAGGGGGACUCAGUCAUUAGGAGACCCCCACAUUUUUGUGUUUUACCUUUAGAAGCUCUACCACACCCCCACAGUGAAUAUUGGAGAAAAAUCCUGUCAUGCUUCUGCCAGGGGAAGGGGAAAAGAACUAUUUAAAAAUACACCAGAACACUCUGUUCUUCUGAACGUGGUCUGCUCUUAGGAGGAACUGCUUAGCCAGAGCCUAAACUUCAGGGGUUUUACCAACGCCUAACUGACCUGGAAGAAGGGAAAUACCCAAUUCUAAGUAAACUAGGAAUAGAGGGAAAUUUCCUCAACUUGAUAAAGAAUAUCUGAAAAAAACAAAAACAAAAACAAAAAAAACCCAAACACCCUACAGUUAACAUCAUACUUAAUGAUGAGAAACUUGAAGCUUUCCCAUAAAACCAGGAGCAAGGCAAAAUGUUUCCUCUCUCCACUGCUUCUGAAGAGCAGAUGAAAAAUUCUAGAUAAUACAGCAAGAAAGAAAAAAGAAAUAAAAGCUACAGAUUGGGAGGGAAAUAACAAAACUGUCUUUGUUUGCAGAUGACAUGAUUGUCUAUGAAGAAAACCUGAAAAAAAUUGGCAGAAAAGUCUCCUGGAGCUAAUAAGUAAUUAUAGGAAGGUUGAGGAAUACUAGGUUAAUAUACAAAAGUCAAUUGUUCUCCAAUAUACCAGUGUCUUAGUCUGUUUUAUGCUUCUACAACAGAAUACCCAAGACUAGGUAAUUUAUAAAGAACAGAAAUUUAUUUCUUACAGUUCUGGAGGCUGAGAAGUCCAAGGUUGAGGGGCUUACAUCUGGUGAGGUCCUUCAUGUUGUGUCAUCCCACGGUUGAAGGCAGAAGGGCAAGAGAGCAUGUAUAUAGAAGGAAAAGGAAGGAGAGGGCAGGGGGGAGGGAAGGAAGAGGAGGUGGGAGGGAAGGAGGGAGGCGGAGGGAAAGGGAGGGGAGGGGAGCCAAAUUCAUUGUUUUAUUAGGAACCCUAACCCACAAGAAGCAUGAAUCCAUUCAUUAGAACAGAGCCCUUCAUGUCCUAAUCACCUCUUAUAGAUCCCACCUCUCAGCACUGUUGCAAUGGGGAUUAAAUUUCUCUUCAUAAUAUAUUCAAUCCAUGACAACCAGCAAUGAACAAAUGAAAUUUGAAAUAAAAAAAAGUAUUUCCCCAAAAUAAAAUAUGUAUAAAUCUACCAAAAUAAAUACAAGAUCCAUGUGAGAAACACUGAAAAACUUUAAUGAAAGAUAUCAAAGAGGAACUAAACAAAUGGAAAAAUACUACGUGUUCGUGGAUGGGAAGAUUCAAUGUUGUCAAGAUGUCAGCUGUUGCCAACUUGAUCUAUAGAUUCAGUGUAAUCAAAAUUAAAAUCCCAGCGAGCCAUUUUGUGGAGAUUAACAGGUUGAUUCUAAAGUUCAUCUGCAGAGACAAAAGACCCAGAAGUGCCAACACAACAUUGAAGAAGAAUAAAGUUGGAGGACUGACACUAUCUGACUUCAAUAGUUAAUAUAAAGCUAUAGUCAUCUAGACAGUGUGGUAUUGGUAAAAGAAUAGACAAAUAGAUCAGUGGAACAGAAUAGAGAGCUCAGAGAUAAACCCUGCAGAUAGUGUAUGUCAAAGGAGCAAAGGCAAUACAAUGGAACAAAGAGUCUUCAACAAAUGAUCCCAGAACAACUGGACAUCACAUACACACAAAAAAUGAGUAAGACACGACCCUUACUUUCUUCACAGAAAUUAACUCAAAAUGGAUCGCAGACCUAAAUGUAAAAUGUAAAACUGUAACACUCCUAGAAUGUAAUGAGACAGGAGAAAAUCUAGAUGAGUAUGGGUAUAGUGAUGACUCUUUAGAUACAACACCAAAGACAUAAUCCAUGAAAGAAAUAAUUGAUAAACCAGACUUCACUAAAAUUAAAAAACUUCUGCUUUACAAAAGACAAUGUCAAGAUAAUGAGAAGAUAAUCCAAAGACUGGGAGAAAAUAUUUGCAAAAGACACUUCUGAUAAUGGACUGUUUUCCAAAAUACAAAAAAAACAAAAAACAAAAAACAAAAGAAAACCUCUUAAAACUCAGCAAUAAGAAAACAAACAACCCAAUUAAAAAAAUGGGCCAAAGAUCUUAACAGACACCUUACUAAAGAAGAUAUGCACAUGGCAAAUAAGCAUAUGAAGAGAUGUUCCAUAUCAUAUGUCAUCAGGGCAAUGCAAAUUAAAGCAACAAUGAAGUACCACUACAUACAUAUUAGACUGGUCCAAAUCUGGAACACUGACAACACCAAUUGGUGGUAAGGAUGUGGAGCAACAGCAACUCUCAUUCAUUGCUGGUGGGAAUGCAAAUUAUACAGCCACUUUGGAAGAUAGUUUUGUAGUUUCUUACAAAAUAAACAUUCUCUUACUAUAUAAUCCAGCAAUCAUGCUCUUUUGGUAUUAUGUCUACACAUAAACACGCAUAUGGAUGUUUAUGGCAGCUUUAUUCAAAAUUGCUAACACUUGGAAGCAACUGAGAUGUCCUUCGGUAGGUGAAUGGAUAAAUAAACUGUGGUACAUCCAGACAAGGGAAUAUUAUUCAGCACUAAAAAGAAAUGAGCUAUCACAUCAUGAAAAGACAUGGAGGAAACUUACAUGUAUAUUAUUAAGCGAAAGAAGCCAGUCUGAAAAGGCUACAUACUGUAGGGUUCCAAGUAUCUGAGAUCCCGAAAAAGGUAGAACUACUGAGACAGUAAAAUGAUCAGUGGUUGCCAGGGCUUAAGAGGAAAAGGGAGAUGAAUAGGUGGAGCACAGAGGAUUUUUAGAGCAGUAAAACUAUUCUAUAUGAUACUAUAAUGGUGGAUACAGGUCAUUAUGAAUUUGUUCAGACUCAGAGAAUGUACAACACAAAGUGAACCCUAAUGCAAACUAUAGUCUUUGGGUGAUAAUACUGUGUCAAUAUAGUUUCGUCAAUUGUAACAAAUGUACCACUGUGGUGAAGAUGUUAAAAUUGGGGGAUGUUGAAAAUGCCUGUGUCAGCACUGGGAAUAUAUGAGAAAUCUCUACCUUCUGCUCAGUUUUGUUGCAAACCUAAAACUGCUCUAAAAAAAUAAAAUCUACUUUUUUAAAAAAAGCAGCACACCUGAUUUUAUAACUAACCAGGUUGGGAAGGGCAAACAUAUAAAUCUUCUGGAUAGUCCUCUUUGUUUAACUUCACCUUUCUAAAGAGCAGCAGCUGGGUAGGUGUUGGCUGCUUUUCCUGCUAUGUAAAUGACAGGCCCUGGCCAGGAAUGCUUAACAGACAGGUGUGUCCCAGCCUCUCCCCUACUUUUACCCGUCAGUUGUUUUUAUUCCUAGGCUAGGUCUAAGGUGGAAAGCUUUUCCUAAGUAGGGGGUUGUGUUGGUCUUAAGGCUUAUCUAACUUGGACAUAGCCUCUUUAAGGAAAAAAAAAUCAAUGUAUGAAUAUAAAAUUAAGUACAAAGGCCCUCAGAAGAGGUCUGUAAAAAUGAGGAUUCUAAAGCUUAAGCUUUAUUACUUUCACAGCAGAUUUACCUCUGUACAACUUUCUCAUUUUGGAGCAAAUCAAAAGACUCUGUUUUACAAAUUGUCUAUGUUUUCAAUAUAUAUUAGUUAAACUGAAUUUUUGAAAUAAAAAGAAGAAAAAACCCCCAUAGAAAUGGAUCAUUUUGGCUGAGAACUGCAAAAACUCUGGGCACAAACACGUUAUUCACCCUCUCUUGAGAGACUUAGCCAUACUUUAGCAUGGCUUUUAGCAGCCUGAGCCUUGUCUCUGGGAAGACUCAAACACUUUUUGAGUUCCUCUCCGGAAGAGUUCAGUCCCUAACCUCCCUUUCUUGCAGCAUUUACUAAAAAGGGCUGACAAUUGUGAAUCUUUCCUCUGUCCCUUCCAGAUGUGUAUGCAUCUCCUGCAACUCAGGAGUGUCUUUCUCAAGGACUUGAAAGCCAUUCCUUUGAAAUAUAAUCCUCAGGAAGGUUAGGGCCUCUGUCUCAGUCUCUGUGGGAGGAUAGCAGCCUAACUUCAAUAACUGCCAGCAAGCAUUCACAGUUGGCUUAACUGUAUUUGCAUUGACCAACCUUUUGUAAUUUUUCACUUCCCUGAUUCCACUGAGCCUCCGCUCACGCCUCUCCUACUCUCUCAUUCUCCUUUAAAAACACCCAGUCACCUCUGUGCAAAUCUGAAUGGAGCUCAGCCCUUUCCCUUGUUGUCG